GCUGGAGGGGCCUCCCUUGCCCACCUCUCUUCGCUGGCACUGGCCUCCCGCACCCGGGUCUGCAGUCCCUCCGCCAUCUCACAGGUGUGCAGCCGCUAGGCCUGGGGGAUCCGAAUGACUGGGGCUGGAUAGGAAUGCCUUCGUGUUUCCCAAGACCCCGGGGCCUGCUCCACAAAGUUUGAAGGGAGGAGUUGAGGCGCCUUGAAUUUUCCUUCGUGAGUUUGGAGACCAGCCGAUUUUUCAUGAAGCUAGCAAAGACUGCGGUCCUGGAUCCUGCAACAUAUACCUCAUUUUCUCCAGGCCUCUCCACUUGCUCGAGCUCUCAGCCACCAGGAGACAGACGGAAGGGGCUUCUGGGCUGUGUUGGGAGCGGGCACUGUCCCCUACCCACUCCUGCACAGUUUCCCAAAGUCCAGCGACCUCCGACCCUCCUUGGGGGAAAAAAUACCAGUACCCAGACAACUCUGCAUCCUGUUAUAUGACUGGGCUUGCUUCAGGAAUAUCUUACAAAGAAGAAGAAGAAGAAGGAAGAGGAGGAACGGCUUGGAGUCAUGUUUACAUCUAGUUCUACUGAUCCGUUCACAUCUGGAGAGUUUAUUUAUAACUCCCUCUAUAACUCUCUGUUUGGAGGCACUGGUGGCUCUACUGACAGACUGAUGUCUAGGAAAUAUUGCUCUAUGUCUAACCGUACCUAAAUGUGCUGUGGUUGUAUUUACAGAUUUACGUUUGAGGGAAAUAUAAUUAUUUCCAUUGUAUUUGUGCAUAUACAGUAGUUAUAGGAGCAGAUUUAUAUAUGGGAAAAUAUACGACUCUCUUACAGCCAUCCGGCUUUAUGUACAUUUGAUAUCCUAACAGAUUUAUAUCUCUGAACAGCUAUAUAGAUAAAAACGUAUAUCGUUAGAAUUA
ensembl:lncRNA novel transcript